rnacentral:tRNA from 1 species
GGGCCCGUAUCUCAGCUGGGAGAGCACCUGCCUUGCACUGCAGGGGGUCGACGGWUCGAUCCCGUUCGGGUCCACCA